UAAUUUCGACCGAUGUGGGGGGGAUGGAGAUACCGAAAUGAAAAAUAACAGAAUAUGUGAGGUGAUAUUUACAGAGUGCAGGUGGUGGGUUUUUGGACAGGGGUAAUUUGUGUAACCCUGGUUGGCGAGGGAAAAUUGCUGUUUUUCCACGUGGAAAGUGCAAAUAUUUUACAUAAACUGUGGUAGCAAAUCUCUAGAAAAAAGGCUGGUCGAUUUUAAUCAAUAUAUUUUUGCAGAAAUUUUUCAUAAUUGAUUCCAGCGCCUAAAUCUUAGACCAAUGAAAAUAGUUCGAAUGGCUUAAGGUCGAAAGACAUAAGAAUAAUGAACAACAGGCCAAAUUGAGAAAAUGGAAAAGUAUCUAUUCAAACGUAUUUUAAUAUGAAUUAAAAUAAAGAAGCGUUUUUACGUAACAUUUUUUUCAAGUUCAAAACUGAGUUGCUCAAAAAGUUUUCUCUAAGGUAAAGGUUGCAGGCAAGCAUAUUUUUAAUAAUUUUAUAUUCUUCAACAAUCAUCUAAUCUUGUUUUAGUGUUAUUUUUUUAAAUAUUUUUACGGUAUUUAGCUGCUUCAUGAUUCGAUUAACACAAGAUUUUUUUUCCUGGGGCUUCGGAUAUUCGAGUCUUGACUGUAAUUUGUUUAAGUUACAGUUAUAUUUUUUUGUCAGUUUUCCAAUUCUGUCAAACAUGAGUGAAAGAAAAAAAGGUUAAAUUCAAACAUAUUUAAAAGAAUUUUACUUUUUCAAAGUAAUUUAUUUUUGUUUCAGUUACACAGUAAAAAAUUAUGUUAAAUUGGAAGGAGUUAUUUUGGAAGGAUGAAUAUUACCUCUUUUAAGAUGUAAUUUUUCCUCAAUUUAGACUGAAAAAGUGACAUUACACCAUAAAAGUGGUAAAAUUACACUUUUUUUCUGACAUAAAAGAGCAAUUCCAGCUCAAAUCAGGAAUUUUUCUGAUACUUUUGUACCCGACCCUCUCCGAUUUCAAUGAAACUUUGUAGACAUGUUAUUCUAGGCCUAUAUAAGCCAUUUUUGUGCAUAUGGAGCAAAUAGUACUCGAGAAUAACAUUUGAGAAGGGCGUAAGGUAUUUAAAUAUUUUUGUAUUCUGUAAUUUAAAAAUUACUGUAUCUCGAAGCCGUUGCGUCGUAUCAAAAAGUGGUCAAAGACAAACUUGUAGGAAAUUGGACGGGCUUUCUGAAAAAAAUACACUGAAACAAAAAUACACGCCACAUCUAUGAGAUUUUUUGAUUUUUAAGUCUAAAACUUAAAUUUGCAAACUUAUGGGAAAUUGGACGAGCUUUCCGUUAAAAAUAUUUACGAGACUGAAAAACCAAGUCUGUCAUAUGGAAAAUGCCAAAAACCACAAAAAAUCCCGUUUAUUCAACAUUUUUAUAUUUAAAACCGCUGUAUCUUCCCAAGGAUUGGACAUAGGACAAUGGUCAAUAUGGAGACUUUUAUGUAAAAUUAUCUGGGGAAUCGAUUUCCACUACCGGUUUUUAAAAAUGUUGACGUUUAGACCACUUUUCAAAAAAACAGUUUUAGUAAAUGAUUUUUGUAUUUUUAAAGGAGAUACAUACCAUCCUGCAUUUUUCGUCAGUCUUUUGGUAACAUCUUAGGGUAUUUCCUCAAAAAUUUUGAGCGAAAAAAAAUCGUGACAUCACCUUCAAAUUUAACUUUUAAACUUAAAAAUUGAAAAAUGAUAUAAAAGUGGCGUGUAUUUUUGUUUCAGUGUAUUUUUUUUCAGAAAGCCCGUCCAAUUUCCUACAAGUUUGUCUUUGACCACUUUUUGAUACGAUGCAACGGCUUCGAGAUACAGUAAUUUUUAAAUUGCAAAAUACUAAAAUAUUUAAAUACAUUACGCCCUUCUCAAAUGUUAUUCUCGAGUACUAUUGGCUCCAUAUACACAAAAAUGACUUAUAUAGGCCUAGGAUAACAUGUCUACAAAGUUUUAGUUCGGAGAGGGUCGGGUACAAAAGUACCAGAAAAAAUCCUGAUUUGAGCUGGAAUUGCUCAAAAGAUAACCCUUCCCAGAUGUAAUAUUACCAUGCUUUUUUUAAUGUGCACAUUUUUGCAUUUUUUUGCACUAUUUCAAACAUGAGCAGUUUUUUUGUUUAAUGAGAGAAAGUCGUAAAACUCUAACAUGUUUUAAAGACUUUUUAAAUCUUCAGAAAUCAUUGAUACUUAAUGUAUUUUUAAUGUUUCUGUGAGUUUUUUUUUUUCAUUCUUUUAAAUAACUCAUUCUUGUCUCAGUAACAUUUUUGUUAGUUUUUCGAUUCUCUCAAGCAUAAGCAGUUCCUUGAAAAGAUUUAUAAGAAAACAAAAAUAUGUUAAGUUAGUAUUUUAUAUUCAUUUAAAAUCAUUUAUUCUUGUAAAAUAUCUGUAGUUUAUUUUUGUUACAGUAUUUUUUAAGAAUUUGUUUGAGGAAAAGUUAUUUUUAUUUUUUUUCCUUUAGUAGGUUUACGAAAAAAAGCUAAAUAACAAAAAAGAAAAGGAUUAUUCAAAUUCUCAAGGUUUCAUGUUUUUUUUUCAAUGAAAUUCAAUGGAAUUCAUUUAAUUCGAUUUUGAAAGCGAAAAGUAUUUUUGGAUUCUUUCGAUAAUAUUCCACUAGGAUUAGAAAAAAAAUCCUGACAAUAAAUUUUAUGUAGGGGAAAGUGGGGCAAGUGUAACAAGCUAAGGAAAUGCUCGUUGUAACCCAUUAAAAAGUUAAAAAAUCUGUUGGAUUUUAUUAUAAUCAUCUUAUUCUAGGUCUUGACUAAGACUUUGUUAGAACAAGUUU